GGCGCCGAGCUGGGAGCGCAGCGGACUCCCGGAAAGCAGCGGCAGCGGCGGGAAGGGGCUCCAAGGAGCAAAGAAUGGCGGCGAGGCGCUGCCGGGAGCAGCAGAAGGCAGCGAGGAGAAGCCGUGAAGCUGCAGAGCGGCGGAGUUGUCUUUUUUCCUUCGCCAGGCUUGAAUCUUCCUUCCGCCUUGCUGUGCUGUGGGGAGCAGCUGGAGGCGAUUCUCUUGCAUGAGCGAGGGGUGCAGCCUGGUUCCACCCGGCCCUGAGCUCACGGAAGGGCUGGCUGCCCGCAGGGAAGGAGCUCUGCUUGAGGUCUGCUCCUGGGUGGGCUUUUGUGUGCCCUGUUCCUCAGGAAGGGAGACUCGGGGGAGAAAGCGUUGUGCUUGAUGGCACGGUUUCCUUGGGCAAAGGAUGCUUUGGCAGCAGAGGUUUGCUGUCAGGAGGCAUGAAAGCACUGAAGCCAAUGCUGCCGUGCCUGGGCCCAGAGACAUCAGCUCCCAGCACGUCCCUGGCGGUGGAUGUGUGCAAGCUCUGUGUCUGCCGGUGGUUGCUGCAAAGGCUUUGUGGUCAGCUGUGCGUGGCUGUUUUGCUCUUGAGGGCGUGGGAACAGAGGGCAACACGCUGAUGGGAGUGAUGGUGUCCUGCUCAGCAAUGGAUGUGCUGGGUGGCAGAAGAGGAUUCUUGGCCGAGCGUGGAAAAUCUCUCUGCUCCUUCCUGAAGGACGCAAUCUUCCACUUGGAAAGGGCCUCCAAGGAUCCCUGGUAUCCUCUGAGAGCUCUGAGCUGCCACACCAAUUUGAAGCUGACUUCAUUUUUGGUCUUCCCCUUCAGCAGAAAAGCUCAGACAGCCGAGCCAAGCGAGACGCUGGAUUUCCUUUGGCAUCAAGGAAAGCAUCGUGAGAUGUUCUGAUGCCCUCUCACAAUCCUUUCUCCCUCCGCCAGCACCAGAGCUGGCGUCCAAAGACGCAAUGACACUGCCACAGGCAUUGUGGAGAUUUCUAUGGGAUAGGCCCACGGUAAGGCUUUAUUGACAGAGGGAGGGACAAUGAAGAUUGGAUGUCAGGGAGAAGGUCUUUCCAGAGACGGUGGUGAGAUGCUGGAAGCGGAUGCCCAGAGAGCUUGUGGACGCCGCGUCCGUGGCAGUGUUGAAGGCCAGGUUGGAUUGGGCACUCGGCAGCCUAGUCUAGGAUUAGAUAUGAUGCAGAUGGGAUUCAAGCAUCUGUUUUGCAGCCAGCUCGAGUGGAGCUCUUGGAGCUCGUGGGCGCCCCAUGCCUGCAUCAGCGUGGGUAGGGUGUGCCCUUCCUGCGCGGUGGGGCUUUGGUGUCCGGGGGCUGACGCUGAGGAGACUGUGUUUCUUCGUUUAUCGGUGGCAGAAAUCCAGCUCUGUCAGCAGAGGACUCCUGCGGCUGGCUGGCCUCAGCCUGAGAUGUUGAUGCUUCCAUCUCCUCAGGUUCUUUCUGCCUGCUCUUCUUAGCCCUGCGCCUCAGAAGUCUGACUGAGUCGCAUGCCAGAAGUGGAAGCCGGGAUGGAGUGCCUUGCGAUGCCUGCGACGGGCUGGACUGAGCCCUUGAGGAAGGGAUGCCUCCUGAGGACCUGCGGGAUAUCCCAGGUGGUGGUUUGGGGACAAACUCCAUUUGAAACCUGUACGCGAGGAGACGACAGUGAGCGGUGGGACGCAGCGCUCCACCAAUCCUUGUUGCUCUCUCUGAUUGCCUGCUGACAGGCCCAUUUUCAUGCUGCAUGAUGGCCACUGCUUUCUAAAGGCUUCAGCAGGGCCAGGCUGAGAGCAACCUGAUGUGGCGCUUCUCAAGGAAGUCGUAAUAGAAUUUCAUGUGGAAGGUCAGUCCAUCGAUGUGGAGCACUCCAAUGUCCUUGAAGACAACGGCAACGUUCUCCCCAUUCUUCAGGCAGCCAGAGAGCAGGGACACGGUGCUUUGGAUGCAAGCCUGCGCUGUCUGCCAGGUCACAGAGGCAGCUGCGGCCACCUCGCUGCUCUUGAGCGGCUCCAGCUUCCUAUGGGCUGAAAAAUGGGAGGGACGGAGUUGAUGAUACGGUUGGUUUUCCGCAGUGCUUCCCUGGAACUGCUUCUUGUGGCCAUCAGCCAGAACGGCCCCAUGUUUGGCUGGGCUCCUCCGAGGGGGAGGUUUGCUUUGGAGAAUGGAGGCGGUGGCCCUGUUGGCCCUGUGCGUGAAGCCAGCAAAGCUUUAAUCCUCCCUCCUACCUGGCAGGGACUCCCUGCGGGGCUUGAGGUGGUGCACGGCUAUGAGGUUUCCAGACAAGUGAAAGACGGGCCACCGCAGAGUCACGGUCCCGUCCUCAGUCCUGAUGUCUCUGGAGAUGGUGUCAAAGGAUCCGAAGGUGGGAAUCCAGACCCCCUACAAGUGGUAGAGAAAGGAAGGGCGGCAGGGUUAUGGGCCGGCUGGCUGGAGGAAGAGCCCAUGUAGCGGUCCAAGGCAGGGACGGAGCUCAGGAGCCCUCUCCCGCUGUUCAGAGGCAUGAGCCAGGGCAUCGGGAAUGGCUUUGGGAAGGGGCUGCACAGUCCUCUCCUUCCCCUCGCCCUCCCAAAUGCAGCACAGCAGUCAGGGCAGAAGCAGCCUGAUGGGAUCCAGAGGCUUCCCGCGAGCGGGAUCAGCCCUGAGACAGGACAGCGCCCAGCACAAGUGAUCCUGCGGGAUUUGCAGGAAGCCCAUGGCAUGCCCAGUAGAGACACGUGGGGAGGUGCUCUUGUACGUAGGCGGCCACCGCAUCCCAGACGGCAACUCGCUCUGGAGGGCAAAGGAAAAGCAGGUCACACUCUGCACCUGCCGCUUCCCGGCAGCCCUCCCGCUGCCAGGCGGGAGUGAGGUGGCAGAUGGAAAGUGUCGUCUGCGUG